CAGGGCAUGUUCUGACCCAGGUCACAGUGCUAUGUCUGAGGCUGUGAGCUUUCCCAUGACUGCGCUGCCUAAAGGGUUGGCUCCAGCUAGAGCGAAGAGGAAACCAGGAAUGUCGUUGCUGGCAGGCCACGGCAAGUUCAGGCUGCCUGCAGGUCAGGCUCCUGCUCCUCCUCCAACCUCCAGGCUCACAACAGCCACUGCAGAGCGUGGAGCAGGUGACGCUGGUUUUUCUGCCCUGUCCUCUGUGCAGGUCUCAUGAGAGGAGCUGAGACCAGACACACACCUCAGCAGAGUUCUUGUGAUCUCCUGGGUACCAAGCUUUUUGGCCCCGAGUAAACUCGAGCCACAAAAUUUCCAUGCUACCUGGAACUAAUGAGCAGGGACCAUGAAUGCUGCUCCAGCCGACUCCAGCCCCAGCUCUCCCACUGAUCAGCUGACAACAUACAGAUGGGAGAGGUGUGGAUCACCUCCAGCCUUUGCUUUCUCCAAGGGCACAUAACCCGGGAAGACGAAAAAGGAAGUGCAGCUUGGUGGAGGUAAAGAAGACCUACUCUCACCUGUCUGACCACCACCACCCUGCAGAGAGCUAUCUUCCCUUCCUCCUUUUGACCCUCUGCCACAGACCCUCUGGGUCCCUGAAUCUGCGUAGAAUGGGAUCUCUUGAGCAGAUGGGCAAAGAGUUGGAUGGAGUUGACAGACAGCCAAACACGCAAGAGUGAUGUUGGAUCUGAAUGUAAUUUUCCAGUCGAGCCUCAGACUUUUUAUAAUACAGAGUAAAUUGCAAAUCAUAACAGAAUAAGGCACAUUGAAUUUUUCCAGGUGCAAAAGGAGUGACUUCAAAAGGAACCAGAUAAAUGUUUAACACUAGAGAUUAGCACAGAUGCAAGGGGAGUGACUUCAAAGGGAGUUUGUAGGGACCAGAUAAAUGUUUACAUUAGAGAUUAGCACCAGGGUUGUAAACUCUUGACACGCCUCAAGAAUAAUGUAGUGUCACUGACCCCAAAAUUCUCUAGGCCUUGUUAAAUUAUCUAUGUCUGGAGACUUUCCAUUUAUCAGUAUAGUAUACUAAUUUGCUCUUGUCAUGGGAUGUAGUCUGUAAUAUGAAUUUCUAUCUCAGUGAGAAUUUUAGACUCUUUCUGCAGACAACUGAAUUAAUGGCUAGUGCUUUAUUGUUUUAUGGUAGUGCUUAAUUAGUUACUGAAUAGGUUAAACUCCUUGCUGUUAACUGGAAUCUAAGAACACUGGGAAAAGGCUUUAGCAAUGUUAGAAUACAAUCUUAAAAGGCAUUUACUAUAAGGUAAUACUAUAUAGAGAGCACGUGGACCCAUACACUAGACUAAUGCAGGAAUGGAAAAAUUAAUUUUAUGGUUUAUAUAGAUUAGGGAGAAAAUGCCAGGCCCCCAGGAAGGGAGUUUCCUUGAAACUCUUUGCUUCAUGAACCAGCUUCCCAGCUUUCGCUUUGUCAAGCUGACUCCACCAGAGUGCCGUGACAACCCUCUAAUUUGCUGCUUUGUGUAUAUGUAUGUAUAUAUGAUAUUUUUAUUUUUGAUGUAUUUUUUGUUAUUUCUUCUCUCUUUCCUUCUAACAGUCAGAUUCCUCCCCUCUGCACUUCUCACCCU
rnacentral:lncRNA from 1 species